AAGUCGAGGGUGCCUGUGUAGCAAUACUCAGGAAACCGGCAGACGAGGUAGUAACAGGUAGGAACAUCCCCAGAAGUCGCGCACAGCUCGCCGAAAGGCGGGGUAAUUCGCGAUGGUCUCGAAAGAGUAAAGAUUUAUCGCUUCUGGAGUGGCCUGCUUUGUAUCAGCUAGUUGGUAAGGUAAUGGCUUACCAAGGCUAUGACGCAUAGGGGAGCUGAGAGGCUGACCCCCACCGAUGAUACUGAGACACGGAUCAUACUCC
rnacentral:rRNA from 1 species